UACGGCGGGGGCUAGCGUUGUUCGGAAUUACUGGGCGUAAAGCGCACGUAGGCGGACUGUUAAGUCGGGGGUGAAAUCCCGGGGCUCAACCCCGGAACUGCCUUCGAUACUGGCAGUCUAGAGGAAGGUAGAGGCUAGUGGAAUGGCGAGUGUAGAGGUGAAAUUCGUAGAUAUUCGCCGGAACACCAGUGGCGAAGGCGACUGGCUGGACCUUUUCUGACGCUGAGGUGCGAAAGCGUGGGGAGCAAACAGG
rnacentral:rRNA from 1 species